rnacentral:sRNA from 1 species
GCCAGGCAUGGUGCCACAAGCCUGUAAUCCCAGCAGCUUGGGAGGCUAAGGCAGGAGGAUCAUGCGUUCAAAGCCAGCUGCAGCAACUUAGUGAGAUCCUGUCUCUA